rnacentral:misc_RNA from 1 species
AGUCGGAAGAAACACGAGGGAAGGAAUUGUCAUUAUUUUUCUAAAAUCAACUUUUCGUUCGCGGAAUGUGCAAAUACAAUUGAUAAUAUCGUAAUGUGCAGUUUGCAAAUAAAUUACGACGUGUUUCGUGUUUCCUAACUGGCUUUCAUGAAGAUUUCGGAUAGCAAUAGUAUAAAGCGAAAAAAGCGUGUGUAAUUGUAUUAGUGUGCGUGCGUCGGUUUGGCUGGUUGGUGUGUUGGCCGAAAGCAGUAAAACGAAAACUGAAGACGAAAAAAUAUAAGAAAAAGAACAUAAAGACAUACAUAGUAGUCGCGCGGGCAACGAACGUUCAGCGUUAUUGAAGGACGACGAGCGGUCGCUGAACGGACGCUGGCAGCGGCAGCAGCAACGAUAGCCAUAAUAAAAACGUGUGCAGUUGUCGACCGGGCGGAGGAUCUUGAAGAUUGCGCAAAUGCACAACAGCUAGCUGUGAAGCAAAGCGCGCGUGUGUGCUGUGUGCGUGUGUGUGUGUGUUGGUGCGUGUCUGGGUCCGAGUCCGCGCAACACGCCCGCCGCCUACGCCACAUAACCAACAACAGCAACAACAACCAAAUCAAAGCGAAUCGAAUGCUUUCAUUUCCUUUUCGGCACUCCCCCCCAUAAUCCCGCUGCAAGCGAUUUAAUUUAACGCGCUAUCGCCUAUUCCCAACGCCACCCAUACAACCCCGCCCAAAACUUAACUCGACGUCCAUUAUCAGUAUCAGAGUUUCGGGGGAACGCAGCGCAAAAUCCUUCAAAAUUCCACCACAAACGCCUACCAGUGCGAGCGCCAUGCCCGUCUCGUUGGCUGUGUGCGAAACAGCAAAUGUCGUGAACGCCGCGCUGCGGGAAUCGCUGGGUGGCGGCGGCGGCAGUGGUUGCGUAGCAGCGGCCGCGGCUAGCGGUCGAUCCGGCUCUGGUUCGAGUUCCACCGCCGCUGCGGCUGCUUCUGCUGAUGAGGCCAAAAUUGGCGAUCCUUCGGCCACGGAUAAUCUGCAGAGUCAAAUUGUGGCAAACGCCAAACGCGUAUUGCUGGCCAAAAUCGAAUACGAGGAGGUGGAGAACUACCAUGAAUCUGUGCUGGCCAAACUCAAAUCAAAAUACAUCGUCAUAAAGCCGGAUAACAGUGGAGCUGCCAACUGCAGCUACAAAACUAACGGUGCUAGCACUGGCAAAGCACUUAGCUCGAACGGGCAUGACAAUACGAACGGUGUGAACGGCAGCAGUGCUGCGACUGUGAAUGGCAAUCGCAAACAGACAGUGGAGCAGUCCAAUCAGAAUUCCACUACGAAUCCCAAUGAAUUGCCCAAGCCCAAGCGGGUGCUGUACCCGCGCGAGAACAUUCGCAUCGGGUGGAAGCAGUCGGAUAGGAAGUGGCAAGUGGGAGCCGGAAUGCUGAAUGUGGGCAAUACGUGUUACCUCAAUUCGACGCUACAGGCUCUUUUCCACAUACCAGCACUAGCCAACUGGCUUGUCUCGGAGACGGCGCACGUGGAGAACUGCAACAUAAGCGAGUCAUGUGGUAGCGGUGGCUGCAUCAUCUGUGCAAUGGCCAAAACGUUGCAGACAACACAGUCGAAUCAGACGGCGGUCCGACCAUUUCUCAUAUACACAAAGCUGCGCCAAAUAUGCAAACACAUGGUCGUUGGCCGCCAAGAGGAUGCCCAUGAGUUCUUGCGCUUUCUGGUCGAGGCUAUGGAGAAGGCGUAUCUGAUGCGCUUUCGCAACUACAAAGAACUUGAUCAGCUGGUGAAGGAGACGACGCCGCUGAGUCAAAUCUUUGGUGGCUAUUUGCGUAGCGAGGUUCGCUGCCUUAGCUGCAAUCAUGUCUCGAUUACGUUUCAACAUUUCCAAGAUCUGUUGCUGGACAUACGCAAGGCGGACACCCUGGAGGAGGCGUUUGAUGGCUAUUUUUCACGUGAGCGCCUCGAGGACAUGGGCUACAAGUGCGAGGGCUGCAAGAAAAAGGUCUCUGCUACUAAACAAUUCAGCUUGGAACGUGCUCCAAUUACGCUCUGCAUCCAGUUGAAGCGCUUCUCGAUGAUGGGUAAUAAGCUGACCAAACAGAUUAGCUUCAAGCCACGCAUAGACCUCAGCCGGUUCGCGGCACGCAGCCCGGCGGCGUCAACCCAGCCCUUGAGCUAUCGCCUGGUAUCGAUGGUCACCCAUUUGGGCGUUUCUCAGCACUGUGGCCAUUAUACGGCCAUUGGGCUAACGGAGUCGGGCAGCUAUUACAACUUUGAUGACAGCUAUGUACGGCCCAUUGCGAUGCAAAGUGUCUGCAAUACGAAUGCGUACAUCAUGUUCUACGAGCUGGACGUGGCCAGCAGCAGCAUCAACAGCAGCAGCAGCUGCAGUACAUCUGUGCCCAAGCUGAACGGACUUCGUCUCAAUGGACAGCACAGCCCGUCGGUAGCUACUACAGCUGUGGCAGCUACGGCCACCUCAACAUCUGCCUCUGCCGUGUCCCCGCGCUUCAUUGGUCCACAGUUGCCUAAUGGCUAUGCCAACAACAAUGGCCAUGUACUUGGUGCUGCAAAGACUUCAAUUCAGUUCAAGUCAUCGCCACAGAAGCAGCCACAACAGCAGCAGCAUAAUGGCCUCCUAAUGGGGGCCAAUAAAUUUCAGGAGUCUGCGCAAUCGAAGCAUUCACUGGUUGGGUCAUUGCAUAAGGGAGAAACUGCUGCAAAUGCAAGUGCAAAUGCAAUUUCAAAUGCAAAUUCUAACAAAAGUUCCUGCAACAACAACACUUUAACAACCAAUAGCCAACACCAGCAACAACAUAUUCUGCCAAUAUCAUCCGAUGAGGAGGAUGAGGAUGAGGACAGUGACGAUGAUGUUGAUGUGAAAGCCAACACAGCGCCUCAGCUGCCGAGCAUGCCGAAAAUGUUUGAGGAUGCCGAGAGUGUUGCACAAACUGCCAAGUUGAAGCCAAAGACGCCACUCAAGAGCCUGGUGCCGUAUGAGUCUGCCUCCGAGGAGGAGCAGGAACAGCAGCAACAACAACAGCAGCUACUAGUGUCACCACAGCUACAGCCAGCUAAUCCCCGCAAGCGACGCAGUGGCGCCGAUUCAAGUGAAUCGGAGGAUGAGCCACCAUCCAUAAUGCGUAAUGGUCAUGCCAAGAGCAAUGGCAGUGGGAAUGAGUCCAGCACCAGCACCAGCAUCAAAUCCAACAAGUCCGCCUCAAAUGCCUCGUCGGCCAAUGUUAACAGCAACAAACAAAAGACUGAUGCCAUAGACGAGAUAUUCAAAAGUCUAAACAACUAUAAAAAUAAACACAGAGCCACAGCAGCAGGAACUACGACUGCUGAUGCAGACGAGGAUGAGCAGCAGCAGCAGCAGGUCACAAAAAAACCAAGCAACUCCAGCUCCAGCUUGAUCAGCAAAAAUGGCUGGCAGUCACAAAAUGGCAAGGCGCCGGCAUCGCCAAAGACGCCGCCCUCGCCAGCGGUGAUUAAAUCCAAGACUGGCAUUUGGCAGAUAACCCGCACGGAUGAUGAUAACGAUGAUGAUGAUGAGGAUGCGGAUGAGGAGGAUGACGCAGACGCUGAUGCUGAACAGGAAGAAUACGAUGAUGAAGUCGUUGUCGUGGAGACCACACCGAGUAUCACGACUAAAAAUCUCAACAAUCCAUUUGCCAGCAAACCGUCUUCAGCAGAUGCCAUGCCUGGGGCCAAGCGCCAGAAACUGCUAAAUGGUAGCGCCAAGUCGGCGCAGACGCCUCGCGUCGGCAAUGGCUAUCAAAGUGAGGCUACGGCCAAUGGCAAUGCAGUCAGCGAACUGUUAAAGCAGACCCAUCGUGGCUAUGGCACUUCGGUGCUCAGCUGGACCGGCAAAACGUCCGAUUUGGACAAGCAGAGUUUUGAUUUGGUUUGUGCGAAACGGAUAGCUGGUUACGGCGAUAUGGAUGGGUCUGUCGGCGUCAGCAGUGACAGUAAUAUUAACAAUAGCAAGAACAUUGACAGCAACAGCAACAUCAAGAGCUUGACGGCUCCAACCGAUAAAUUGUGUUAGCCGUUGUUGCAAGAAGUGCUUGUAUAUCUCAAUUUUCCCCAAUUUGCCUCGAACUGUGAUUGUGUUGAAGUCUCCAUGCUGCGUGUGGAUACUUCAAUGCGCUUAAUACUCCCCACCCAAAAACCUGUUUCAAGAACUCGUCGAAAUCCUAGCGCCCAAUAGUUGCUGGCUGAAGCGCGCGAGCAGCGGAAGCGUGAUGCAGAAGAUGAUGAAGAGAAUGAAAUGGAUCGUGGACGUCAGCGCAAGGUC